rnacentral:rRNA from 1 species
AGGAUGAACGCUGGCGGCGUGCCUAACACAUGCAAGUCGAACGUCCUGUCUCGCAAGAGGCAGGGAGUGGCGGACGGGUGAGUACCACGUGGGUCAUCUACCGUGAGGUGAGGAAUACCGGCGAGAAAUCGCCGACAAGACCGCAUAGGCUCGAUGCAAGUCGAGCAAAGCUCUUUCGAGAGAGGGAGCGCCACACGAGGAGCCUGCGCCCGAUUAGCUAGCUGGUGGAGUAACGGUUCACCAGGGCGACGAUCGGUAGCUGGUCUGAGAGGACGAUCAGCCACACUGGGAUUGAGAACGGCCCAGACUCCUACGGGGGGCAGCAGUGAGGAAUUUUCGUCAAUGGGGGCAACCCCGUGAACGAGCAACGCCGCGUGCAGGAAGAAGGUUUUCGGAUCGUAAACUGCUUUUCUCGGGGAAGAGAAUGGACGGUACCCGAGGAAUCAGCCCCGGCUAACUACGUGCCAGCAGCCGC